UGACAUCACAAAACCCCAUACUUUGGCUGGAACUGUUGAACAACUGUUCAAGUGCAUGUGGGGAAGUAAAACUGUAUCCAUGUGGCUGUGGGAAGUCAUGGCAUGCCCAGCCUAUUACUUGCUUCAGUAGCUGGGUGCAACUAAAUCAGCAUUCAUAAAAACAACAAGCUGGCUGAGAAACAAGGAUACUUGAAUUCCUACUUCUUGGAACCUAUGCAGGAACUUCUGUCAACCUACUACAAGAUCCACUUACCCCCAGCUGAGGUCAGCAAAGAGUAGUUGAUCUGGGCAAUGGAUGGCAGUGAUAACACAAGCACAGCUGUGCUGGGUGAAGCCAGAGGUUUGCCUAGACCAGAAGCCUGUCUCCAACCAUGGCCAGCAGCAGAUAUUAAGGGCUGAGCAUGUGAAGAGGACAAGCACGUGGUGAUUCUUCCCCGGGAUUUGCUUUCUGCCUCCAGCUGUUAGUGGCUAGAGAUAUCUCAAACCAGAGUUGGCGCCUGCCAAACCAAGAGCUCUCAGAACAUCAAACGUGCAGAAAAGCACUUUCAUGUAUAUCAUUAGCAGGACAAAGUGUGUUUAUGAAAAGCUGCUAAAUGUCCAUUUUGAACUAGAUACUUCUAAGAAAAACAACUACAAACGUUUCUUUAAAAAAGAUAAACGUGCAACUGGUGCAUCCAUUUCUGAGA